AGGCAGGGAGGGAGGCAUGGACAGUUCUGUGGGACUGAACUUCAUACCCAGUAACGAUAGUUUUUAUAGCAUAUUGCUUCAUCUGCAAGUGGGAGUAAAUAUUACACUACCUCUUCACGCAGAUGGGUGGGUAAGAAGAAAAAAAAACAAAAAACACAACAAACCCCAAAAGCUAAUUUGAAACAAAUUAACUAUUCUGCAUAUGGAUGAAGGUACUUCUCUACCUCCCUGGUCACUCCAGGACUCUGCAGACUGUGCAAAGUUAAUAAACUCGGUGCUGCACAGAUUGCCUGCUGAACCUGCCAACAGGUGAACAGCCUCAAUCCGCAACGGGUAUAAAUAAUCACCAGUCCUCAAAAGCAGGUAUUCUGGGUCACUAUUAAGAGCCCUUUCAAGUCAGCAAAGUUCAGCCAAGUCUACCUUAAUCCCAAACCUUUAAAAGAAACAAUAAAACACGGAAAGGGGGUGGAAGACGA